AUUGAACGCUGGCGGAAUGCUUUACACAUGCAAGUCGAACGGUAGAGGGGGCAACCCCUCGAGAGUGGCGAACGGGUGAGUAAUAUAUCGGAACGUGCCCAGUCGUGGGGGAUAACGUAGCGAAAGUUACGCUAAUACCGCAUACGAUCUACGGAUGAAAGCGGGGGAUCGCAAGACCUUGCGCGAUUGGAGCGGCCGAUAUCAGAUUAGGUAGUUGGUGGGGUAAAGGCUCACCAAGCCAACGAUCUGUAGCUGGUCUGAGAGGACGACCAGCCACACUGGAACUGAGACACGGUCCAGACUCCUACGGGAGGCAGCAGUGGGGAAUUUUGGACAAUGGACGCAAGUCUGAUCCAGCCAUUCCGCGUGCAGGAUGAAGGCCCUCGGGUUGUAAACUGCUUUUGUACGGAACGAAAAGGUUUCCAUUAAUACUGGGAGCUCAUGACGGUACCGUAAGAAUAAGCACCGGCUAACUACGUGCCAGCAGCCGCCGUAAUAC
rnacentral:rRNA from 1 species